rnacentral:rRNA from 1 species
UGGGCCCGCGUUUCAUUAGCUAGUUGGUAGGGUAACGGCCUACCAAGGCGACGAUGGUUAGCUGGUCUGAGAGGAUGAUCAGCCACACUGGAACUGGAACACGGUCCAGACUCCUACGGGAGGCAGCAGUGAGGAAUUUUGCGCAAUGGGGGAAACCCUGACGCAGCAACGCCGCGUGAGCGAAGAAGGCCUUCGGGUCGUAAAGCUCUGUCAAGUGGGAAAAAAAUCUUUUGAUCAAUAGUCAAAAGACUUGAUGGUACCACUGGAGGAAGCACCGGCUAACUCCGUGCCAGCAGCCGCGGUAAUACGGAGGGUGCAAGCGUUGUUCGGAUUUACUGGGCGUAAAGGGCGCGUAGGUGGGUCGGUAAGUCGAACGUGAAAACUGUUGGCUCAACCAGCAGAUUGCGUUCGAAACUGUCGGCCUUGAGUACGGGAGAGGAGAGCGGAAUCGACAGUGGAGCGGUGAAAUGCGUAGAUAUUGUCGAGAACACCGGUGGCGAAGGCGGCUCUCUGGCCUGAUACUGGCACUGAUGCGCGAAAGCUAGGGGAGCAAACAGGAUUAGAUACCCUGGUAGUCCACGCUGUAAACGAUGGACACUAGGUG